AAAGUUUUAAGUUAAUUUAAACUCAUAGCCUUCAAAGCUAUAAAUAUAAGCCCAUUUUAUAAACUUUAAACUUUA
rnacentral:tRNA from 1 species